UGGACAGGUGGCAGAGCGGUCGAAUGCGCUCCGUUGUUACCGGAGUUUACCUUUACGGAUAACGGGGGUUCGAAUCCCUCCCUGAUUAA
rnacentral:tRNA from 1 species